rnacentral:misc_RNA from 1 species
GAUGAAGAACGCAGCGAAAUGCGAUAAGUAAUGCGAAUUGCAGAAUUUCCGUGAGUCAUCGAAUCUUUGAACGCACAUUGCGCCCACUGGUAUUCCGGUGGGCAUGCCUGUUCGAGCGUCAUUAUCCUCCCUCAAACCCCGGGUUUGGUGUUGGACCCAAGUUGUGUGAACACUGGUCUCAAAGACAAUGACGGCGUCCGUGGGACCCUCGGUGCAACGAGCUUUUAGGAGCACGCAUCGAGUUGCAAGGACCUUCCGGGCCGGUCUCCUUUACCAUUUUACAAGGUUGACCUCGGAUCAGGUAGGAAUACCCGCUGAACUUAAGCAUAUCAAUAAGCGGAGGA